GCCUACUCCUGCUGUGUCCGGAAGGCUUAGUGACUGACUGGGGGAAACGGGGGAGAGUGGAAGGGCAGAGGAGAACAGGCUAUUCUGUGCCUAACUUGAUUGCAGAUGAAGAGACAGAUUGGAUUGGGAAGUUCAAUAAACAUUUAUAAACAUGAUAUGAUUAGAUUUAAAAUUGAGAAAUUUCAGGAAGUGGAGAUGGACUACGAAAAUCAUCAGCUGUACCAGUGGCUUACAGCAUUUGGCAACCAAAAAAAGACGCCACUGAUGAGUGAGACACCGCUGCACCUCGCUGAACUGAGAAUCUCACACACACUUGUCAGUUGUGGAUGUCUAAUUCUCUAAUAUUACUUUGCACAUGGUUGGGGGAUUUCCAGGUUGGAAAGUGUGCGACUAAGUAUAAUGUAACGUAUGAGAUCAGGCGUUACUCUAACAGGAGGAAGAGAGAGAGGUGACAAGACGCU